rnacentral:tRNA from 1 species
GCCGGAGUGGUGGAACAGGUAGACGCGCGGGACUCAAAAUCCCGUGGGGUUCGCCCCGUGCGGGUUCGAUUCCCGCCUCCGGCACCA